rnacentral:rRNA from 1 species
AGUGAACGCUGGCGGUAGGCCUAACACAUGCAAGUCGAACGGCAGCACAGUAAGAGCUUGCUCUUACGGGUGGCGAGUGGCGGACGGGUGAGGAAUACAUCGGAAUCUACUUUUUCGUGGGGGAUAACGUAGGUAAACUUACGCUAAUACCGCAUACGACCUACGGGUGAAAGCAGGGGAUCUUCGGACCUUGCGCGAUUGAAUGAGCCGAUGUCGGAUUAGCUAGUUGGCGGGGUAAAGGCCCACCAAGGCGACGAUCCGUAGCUGGUCUGAGAGGAGGGUAAGCCACACUAGAACUGAGACACGGACCAGACGCCUACGGGAGGCAGCAGUGGGGAAUAGUGGACAAUGGGGGCAAGCCUGAUCCAACCAUACCGCGUGGGUGAAAAAGACCUUCGGGUUGGAAAGCCCUUUUGUUGGGAAAGAAAAGCAGCAGGUUAAUACCCCGCUGUUCUGACGGUACCCAAAGAAUAAGCACCGGCUAACUACGUG